AGCGCCGUGGCAAGGAAAAGCGUUUAUAAUCAAACCUGUUGUCACGCGAGCCUACUUGAGAAAAACACGCUGUCUUUUUAGCCCCGCCCCGCGCUCUGCAUUCCGGGAAGCGUAGUUCCGGCCUUCCUUUUUCCGCUGGAGGGAGAUGGAAAAAUUAAAUGAAAUAAUAGUUUCAGACUUUGAAACUAUGCAGAGGAACACUGAUCUCUGAGAGAAGGAGUUAAACCAGUCAAAACCCCAGAUAAGAUGACACAUUUCCGUAGUUUGCAAACUUACCCAUGAAUGUAGGAGAUCCAUAUCUGAGCAGGAAGACUUGAGACGUGUGUGGCGAACACAAGAGGAGCAGUGGCCCCAGGGUCCAACCUCGGCUAUUUGGAAAUCAACAUAUGUCCAGAGAGGGUUUUCAGGAAAAGGCUUCCAGUGAUGCCAUAUGCCUCUCUCCAGAGCUUCAGACUCACAUAUCCAACUAUGUAUUUAAAACAAUUUUUAAGCACAAUCAGUACUGACCUCUAGACCUGUGCCCCAAAUAUGAUGUUCAUACAGUCUUCUUCAACUCAGUGAAGGCCAUCUUCAUCCACCCAGUGCACAUUCUGUAAUGAAGAGUUUGGUCUAUUCUAUCACCAAAAUGUAUUUUAAAUGUUUCUUUUUCUCCAUCUCCGCUGUUACCAAUCUAGUUUAAUUUUCUUUCAUUGAAACUAUUGUCAAGUCUCUAAAUGGUUUUCUUUUCACUUUUGUCUUUCUAAGUUACAGUCUUCUUUGAAAGAUGUACA